rnacentral:rRNA from 1 species
GACGAACGCUGGCGGCGUGCCUAAUACAUGCAAGUCGAGCGAAUCUUUUGGGAGCUUGCUCCCGAAAGAUUAGCGGCGGACGGGUGAGUAACACGUGGGCAACCUGCCUAUAAGACUGGGAUAACUUCGGGAAACCGGAGCUAAUACCGGAUACGUUCUUUUCUCGCAUGAGAGAAGAUGGAAAGACGGUCUCGGCUGUCACUUAUAGAUGGGCCCGCGGCGCAUUAGCUAGUUGGUGGGGUAAUGGCUCACCAAGGCGACGAUGCGUAGCCGACCUGAGAGGGUGAUCGGCCACACUGGGACUGAGACACGGCCCAGACUCCUACGGGAGGCAGCAGUAGGGAAUCUUCCGCAAUGGACGAAAGUCUGACGGAGCAACGCCGCGUGAACGAAGAAGGCCUUCGGGUCGUAAAGUUCUGUUGUUAGGGAAGAACAAGUACCAGAGUAACUGCUGGUACCUUGACGGUACCUAACCAGAAAGCCACGGCUAACUACGUGCCAGCAGCCGCAGUAAUAC